GGUGUUGCAGCUCAGUGGUAGAGCACUUGCCUAGUAUGCGUGAGGCAUGGGGUUCAAUUAUCAGGACCA
rnacentral:tRNA from 1 species